ensembl:lncRNA
CAGGAAACCAGCCAGUGGCUCAGAGCGCCUGCGGGGUAACCCACAACAGAGACACAACAGACGAGAGAGGCUGGGUCUCAGGAAGGAACUCUGUCUGAACUGGGGACAUCUCCAGGAGACAUGCAGAGGCCCCAACCCUCUCUGAGCCUCCAUUUGCCUCCACCAGAAACAAGGGAAGUGCAGCUUGUACCCAGGUCAGCAUGAGAAGCACCCACUACCCAGAGAGCAGAUAUCUCACAGGGAGGACCCCACACGGCCCUACUACUACCAAGGAGAUCAUGUAACUGGACCAUCCAAUACCCACCAGCCAUGAUUGCAAACCAGGACGUCAGGGAACCCAUACUCUGCCGCAGAAAGACACUGGUCGCAGUGAAGACUCCUGCUCCUGUUCUUCUCCCAUAAAAACAGGAAUAAAAGUUCUACUCACUCCAGGACAGGAAACAGAAAUAGUGGGUCACUCUGCUGUGGUCCAGCUCUGGAGAACAUAGUGGCAUCAGAUAAACUCAAGUGGAGGCCACAAGUUGGACAGAAUGGCCUGAAAGAAGCUAUCAGGCCCCAGCAGGAUCCCCAUGCUUCCUGGUGCUGCUCCAACCCUGUUUGCAGGCCCCAGUGUCAGACUCAGUGGUGCUAUUGGUUGCCAUCCCAGACAUCCCCUGCCCCACCCAACCCCAGGCAGGACCCAGUCUCAGGUUCCACGAGAGCUGGUUCUUUCUCCAGAAGUUCAACAGAAAGGUCUGGGGGUUUCUAGAACGAAGAAAAUAGAAAGCUUCGAAGCCCCUUUGGACCGAGGGGCUAAGGUUGAAGCCUCUGCUCUACCAUUUUGCAAAUAUAUGCAUGACCUAGAGUAUGCUGUUUUUCCCCCUGAGCCUCAGUACACCAAAAGCCUGCACAGCGGCUAAGGUUCCCAGGGGGAGACAGACAGGUGAGGUACCUCUGCACCGAUAAGUUCUCGCAACCUUUCAUGGAAGAUUGGUGUUGGCUCUGCUGCUGACACAGCCUCACAACUGGGCUGCCUCUAGCUUUGAGCGUAGGGUAACAUCACAUCAGAGACUCUAAGAGGAAACACCCAGCACAAUGGUUUCUUUGUCGAGCUUUUGGAGUACCCUUUGUUCUUAACCAUCCCUCCCGGCUUCAGACUGUAACCCCCACCAGGCAUGCCCACUCCUGCCACCAGCCUCCCCAUCCUCCCAGGCCUUCAGGAUCCUGGGUAAGGGCCAUGUCCUCCAGGACAUGCUUCUAGACACACCCCUGAUAGAGACACAACCCAAGUCCAUUCUGGGUGUGUCUGUACCCUGAAGGCAGGAGCCAUGGCCUGGCCUAUGCCCAACAUAGAGUGGUCACUAGCCAGCUGGCGGUGGAAAACACACUGACGUGGCAUCCACGGACUCUGAGAGUACAAGUUCCAAUGUUCUGCCACUGACUAUGACUCUCCUUCUUCGGGCCUUCCUUACUCACCAGUCAAAUGGGAACGUUCAUCCCGUUGCAGACUACUAAGGGAGGGUUGCUGGUCUGGCCCGGCAGACAAUGAAUGGGGUACCUUAUUGUGCUCUGUGUUAGUAAGACAGCCACUUACUGCUUCGUGUCUGUGCAUCGGUGUUAUGAAACAUAUGGGGCCAGACUCGGAAGAUCCCAGCAGCAACACUAACAUUUCACCCCCAAGCCCCAGACAGGAGUCUAGCAUGGCUGUCCUCUGAGCAGCUCCACCCACCAACUGACUCAGAGUCAUACACCCACAGCCAAACAGUGGAUGGAGCUUGAGGAUUCUUAUGGAAGAAGAGGAGGAAGGAUUGCAGCCCCUAAGGGGAUAGGAACUCCACGAGAAGACCACCAGACUCAACUAACCUGGACUCUUGGGGCUCUCAGAGACUGAACCACCCACCACAGAGCAUACACAGGGUGGACAUAGGCUUCACUGCACAUACGUAGCAGAAAUGCAGCUUGGUCUUCAUGUGGAUCCUGAACGGGGGCUCUCCUAAAAGCUGUUGACUGUAUGGGGGAUAUGUAUGGGCUGCCUUGUCUGGCCUCAGUGGAGAGGAUGCAUCUAGCCCCCACACUCUCAGAAAAGAAGGGGAGGGGAAGGAUUGUGGGAGGGGG